CCCCGGAUAGUCCAACUUGGUAAGGCGCAAAGCUCAUGACUUUGAGAUACGGGUUCAAAUCCCGCGCCGGGGGCCA
rnacentral:tRNA from 1 species